CAGCAGCCACGGGAAUACGAAGGGGGCUAGCGUUGUUCGGAAUUACUGGGCGUAAAGGGCGCGUAGGCGGUCCGCUAAGACAGAUGUGAAAUCCCCGGGCUUAACCUGGGAACUGCAUUUGUGACUGGCGGGCUAGAGUAUGGCAGAGGGGGGUAGAAUUCCACGUGUAGCAGUGAAAUGUGUAGAUAUGCGGAGGAACACCGAUGGCGAAGGCAAUCCCCUGGGCCUGUACUGACGCUCAUGCACGAAAGCGUGGGGAGCAAACAGGAUUAGAUACCCCUGUAGUCCCUGUCUCUUAUAC
rnacentral:rRNA from 1 species